rnacentral:lncRNA from 1 species
CCAUGAUUCCAGGGGGUUGAUCUGAAAUCAAUAGAGAACCAAGUGGUUUGCUCUGUGAUUAUCUUUGAGGAAAGCUCUCUGACUUGCUCAAAAGGGAUUCCAAAAGCAGCCAUUUUGUUUGGGUUUCUUUGAACAUGUAACCCACUAAGCUUUGUGCUAUGGGAUGGAAUUGGUGAAGGUGAAAUAAAAGGAGUGGAGAGUUCAUGAAAUGAAAUGAGAAGACAUGGUGUAGGCACAAUACAAAGAACAAG